rnacentral:rRNA from 1 species
AUUGAACGCUGGCGGCAUGCCUAAUACAUGCAAGUCGAACGAGUGGCGGACGGGUGAGUAAUGUCUGGGAAGCUGCCUGAUGGAGGGGGAUAACUACUGGAACCGGUAGCUAAUACCGCAUACCUUUCGAUUUGCCCAGAUGGGAUUCGCUUGUUGGUGGGGUAACGGCUCACGAAGGCGACGAUCCCUAGCUGGUCUGAGAGGAUGACAGGCCACACUGGAACUGAGACACGGUCCAGACUCCUACGGGAGGCAGCAGUAGGGAAUAUUGCACAAUGGGCGCAAGCCUGAUGGAGCAAUGCCGCGUGUAUGAAGAAGGCCUUCGGGUUGUAAAGUACUUUCAGCGGGGAAGCGUUACCCGCAGAGAAAGCAACGGCUAACUCCGUGCCAGCAGCCGCGGUAAUUC